UUGAACGCUAGCGGCAUGCCUUACACAUGCAAGUCGAAACGGGCAGGCACGGGGGGCAACCCUGGUGGCGAGUGGCGAACGGGUGAGUAAUGCAUCGGAACGUGCCCAUCGAUGGGGGAUAACUGCGCGAAAGCGUUGCUAAUACCGCAUACGGACCUACGGGUGAAAGCAGGGGACCGCAAGGCCUUGCGUCGAUGGAGCGGCCGAUGCCGGAUUAGCUAGUUGGUGAGGUAAAGGCUCACCAAGGCGACGAUCCGUAGCCUGGUCUGAGAGGACGACCCCAGCCACACUGGGACUGAGACACGGCCCAGACUCCUACGGGAGGCAGCAGUGGGGAAUCUUGGACAAUGGGCGAAAGCCUGAUCCAGCAAUGCCGCGUGUGGGAAGAAGGCCUUCGGGUUGUAAACCACUUUUGGCGGGAAAGAAAUGGUCUGUGCUAAUACCACGGAUUGAUGACGGUACCGCAGAAUAAGCACCGGCUAACUACGUG
rnacentral:rRNA from 1 species